rnacentral:tRNA from 1 species
AGUUUUAUAGUUUAUAUAUAAAAUAUUAAAUUGCAAAUUUAAAGAUAAAUUUAAUUUUAAAACUU